rnacentral:rRNA from 1 species
AGAGUUUGAUCCUGGCUCAGGACGAACGCUGGCGGCGUGCCUAACACAUGCAAGUCGAACGGAGAAUUUCAAUAAGCUUGCUUAGCGAAAUUUUUAGUGGCGGACGGGUGAGUAACGCGUGGGUAACCUACCCAUAAAGCCGGGACAACCCUUGGAAACGAGGGCUAAUACCGGAUAAUCUUAAGGUUUGGCAUCAGACUUUAAGGAAAGGUGGCCUCUGAAAAUGCUACCGAUUAUGGAUGGACCCGCGUCUGAUUAGCUAGUUGGUGGGGUAAAGGCCUACCAAGGCGACGAUCAGUAGCCGGCCUGAGAGGGUGAACGGCCACACUGGGACUGAGACACGGCCCAGACUCCUACGGGAGGCAGCAGUGGGGAAUCUUCCGCAAUGGACGAAAGUCUGACGGAGCAACGCCGCGGGUAUGAUGAAGGUCUUCGGAUUGUAAAGU